CACGUAGGGUGCGAGCGUUGUCCGGAAUUAUUGGGCGUAAAGAGCUCGUAGGCGGUGUGUCGCGUCGGCCGUGAAAACCUGCAGCUUAACUGUGGGCUUGCGGUCGAUACGGGCAUCACUGGAGUUCGGCAGGGGAGACUGGAAUUCCUGGUGUAGCGGUGAAAUGCGCAGAUAUCCGGAGGAACACCAGUGGCGAAGGCGGCUCUCUGGGUCGGACCUGACGCUGAGGCGCGAAAGCGUGGGGAGCGAACGGG
rnacentral:rRNA from 1 species